rnacentral:sRNA from 1 species
UUUUAGCCCCGAUUGCAGCGAACACGAAUCCCGGUUUCCCGGGAGAGUAAAGCGAAAAGCGGGAACAAAC